rnacentral:lncRNA from 1 species
UGGUCGGUAGCUUUGGCUUUCUUGUCUGAGCUUGUGACUGAGAAGAAUGUUAAGCAUUUUGCAGAGAGUAUGAUAAGGAUCUGCGAUCCGAGCUUAGUAUAAUAGGGUUUCAGUUUUAAUAUAUCUUUAUCUUCCACUUUGAUCAAUCUGUCUAGGUUUAAGUUGUAAUAACUUGUCUUCUUCCACUUUGAUGAAUCUGUCUAGUUUUAAUAUCUUGUAUCUAGACUUUUGGUUUUCUC